rnacentral:misc_RNA from 1 species
GAUGAAGAACGCAGCAAAAUGCGAUAAGUAGUGUGAAUUGCAGAAUUCAGUGAAUCAUCGAAUCUUUGAACGCACAUUGCGCCCCUCGGUAUUCCGUGGGGCAUGCCUGUUCGAGCGUCAUUUAACCCCUCAAGCCUAGCUUGGUAUUGGGUGCUUGUCCCGCCUCUCGCGCGGCGACUCACCUCAAAGUCAUUGGCAGCCCGCAUCUCGCCGGCCGUGAGCGCAGCACAGACGCGCUCUUGGCAACGACGGAUCGGCUCUCCAAAAGCUUAUUUCAACCACUGACCUCGGAUCAGGUAGGGAUACCCGCUGAACUUAAGCAUAUCAAUAAGCGGAGGA